CGUGACAUUUAAGGAGGUAGUUCCAUGACCAGAGAGUGGAUGCCCCUUAAGUGUCUUGCC
rnacentral:pre_miRNA from 1 species